GGUGGCGUAGCUCAGUCGGUAGAGCAAGCGGCUCAUAUCCGCUCGGUCAGGGGUUCAAAUCCCUUCGCCACUA
rnacentral:tRNA from 1 species